rnacentral:misc_RNA from 1 species
GUUAAAACUGUAUAAAGUCAGAAAUUCUAACUUUUUGGACCCAUCACAAAUGCAAAUGUCCAUGGCCGCUACGGCCUACGAUCCACACAUACCAAAAACCAUAUAAAUCUAUGCAUGAUAAGCCAAUCACAAUGUUCAUAAAGUCUGACAUUUUUCAGGCAUUUUACUACCAGGCACAUCUGUAAAAACAAGAAUUCUUAUCCAA